AUAAUUAUUAUUACAAAUACGUAUAUCCAGUCAUCAUUUAGUGUACAUUAGCAAGAAUAACAUUAACCUUCCUCUACCUGUCAUGACAUGAACCAUAUGAGUAUACAUGUAACACACAAUAAGCUGACAACAGCCUACACAGGGUAAUCAUAUGUUUGACUGUAAGAUACAAUGAACUAGCACAUGAUAGACAAGAGGACAUGAUAGGCAAUGUGCUUAAGUACAUGCUUUAUAUGAAUAAUGUAUAAUAGAAGAAGAAUAAACAACAACAACAACAAGGAGCUGGUCCACUUUAUUCAGCACUCAAUCAAGACAAUGAUACUCCUCCUCCUGUCCCUCCUGCCUAUAAUCCUGAGGGAGUACAGGAAUACUCUGUAUUGAAGAGAGAGGGAGAGAAUAAGGGUCAACAGGGUCUGUCUACUGGUGCUACUGGACUAUAUUCAACCAUUAAUAAAAACACCAACAACCAGGUGUUAGUUGAUGAAUCAGCUCAUAAGCCAGUGUAUGCUGAUCUGGCUAUUGCUGCUAAAGGGAAGAGACCACAGGCAGUACCAACACAAGAACAACCAGUGGUAUAUGCAUCAGUUAACAACAAAUCUGUUCCUCCUCCCAUUCCUCCUCCAGCUGCUCCUCAUAAAGUAUUGUAUGCUGAUCUAUCAAUAGCAGCUGGUAAGAGAA